CAGCCGUGCCUCCUCUCUGAGCCCUGUCUUCCUACUGAGCCAGGUUCAGAAGGGCAACUCCUGCAGGCAGGUGUCACCUCUGCCCUGAAGCAGCACAGACCCCACACGGCCCCCGACACUCCAAGAAACCAUGGCAUGUAACAGUGGGUUUCCAGCAAUGGCUGGUGUGAGUUCGAGGAAAGGACAGGAGUAUUCGAAGAGGGAGGGGCUCCAUUAGGGAAGGCUUCUCAG
rnacentral:lncRNA from 10 species